rnacentral:rRNA from 1 species
GAGACUCUGUGCGCGUGCAUAUCAAUAAGCGGAGGAAAAGAAACUAACAAGGAUUCCCCUAGUAACGGCGAGUGAAGCGGGAAGAGCUCAAAUUUGAAAUCUUAAAGGGUUUCCCUUUACGAAUUGUAGUUUAAAGAAGUGUUUUCUGUUGGAGUUUCGGUAAAAGUUCUUUGGAAUAGGACAUCAUAGAGGGUGAGAAUCCCGUAUUUGACCGUUACUUUCCAGCUGUGUGAUACACUUUCAAAGAGUCGGAUUGUUUGGGAAUGCAGUCCAAGAUGGGUGGUAAAUUUCAUCCUAAAGCUAAAUAUUGGCGAGAGACCGAUAGCGAACAAGUACCGUGAGGGAAAGAUGAAAAGAACUUUGAAAAGAGAGUUAAACAGUACGUGAAAUUGUCAAAAGGGAAGCGUUUGACACCAGUGUUGUUUAGUUGAAAAUCAAUUCAAUAGUUUUUGAUUCUAAGUAGUAUUGACUUCAUCAGCUUGCUGCUUUCUUCUCAGAAAUUAUUGAAUGCACUUUUCAGUUAACAAGUCAACAUCAAUUUCUUUUGUUGUAAAAGGGUAAGAGGAAGGUGGCUUGCGCUUCGGCUCAAGUGUUUAUAGCCUUUUAUCUCUGCAAUCGGAGAGAUUGAGGUCUGCAGCGUAGAUCCUUCGGGGUUAGAUACAUUGGUGCUAAGCUAUAGCCUUGUAUAGACAACUUGUUGACUAUGCUCAGUCAUGUAGCUUACUCGCUGAUGCUAUUUUACCUACGCUUAGGAUGUUGAUCUGUAGUGCGUGCGC